ACCAGACUCCUACGGGAGGCAGCAGUGGGGAAUAUUGCACAAUGGGGGGAACCCUGAUGCAGCGACGCCGCGUGGGUGAAGGAGCACCUCGGUGCGUAAAGCCCUAUCGGCAGGGAAGAAAAGCGAACAGGUUCGCCUGGACGGUACCUGACUAAGAAGCCCCGGCUAACUACGUGCCAGCAGCCGCGGUAAUACGUAGGGGGCAAGCGUUAUCCGGAUUCACUGGGUGUAAAGGGAGCGUAGACGGCGACGCAAGUCUGGAGUGAAAGCCCGGGGCCCAACCCCGGGACCGCACCGGAUACUGCCGGACUCGAGUGCCGGAGGGGCAGGCGGAAUUCCUGGUGUAGCGGUGAAAUGCGCAGAUAUCAGGAGGAACACCGGUGGCGAAGGCGGCCUGCUGGACGGUAACUGACGCUGAGGCUCGAAAGCGUGGGGAGCGAACAGGAUUAGAUACCCCAGUA
rnacentral:rRNA from 1 species